AGAGUUUGAUCCUGGCUCAGGAUGAACGCUAGCUACAGGCUUAACACAUGCAAGUCGAGGGGCAGCAUUUCAGUUUGCUUGCAAACUGGAGAUGGCGACCGGCGCACGGGUGAGUAACGCGUAUCCAACCUGCCCACCACUUGGGGAUAACCUUGCGAAAGUAAGACUAAUACCCAAUGAUAUCUCUAGAAGACAUCUGAAAGAGAUUAAAGAUUUAUCGGUGAUGGAUGGGGAUGCGUCUGAUUAGCUUGUUGGCGGGGUAACGGCCCACCAAGGCAACGAUCAGUAGGGGUUCUGAGAGGAAGGUCCCCCACAUUGGAACUGAGACACGGUCCAAACUCCUACGGGAGGCAGCA
rnacentral:rRNA from 1 species